rnacentral:rRNA from 1 species
GUCGAGGGGUAUAGUUCUUCGGAACUAGAGACCGGCGCACGGGYGCGUAACGCGUAUGCAAUCUACCUUUUGCAGAGGGAUAGCCCAGAGAAAUUUGGAUUAAUACCUCAUAGUAUGUGAGAAUGGCAUCAUUUUCACAUUAAAGUCACAACGGCAAAAGAUGAGCAUGCGUCCCAUUAGCUAGUUGGUAAGGUAACGGCUUACCAAGGCAACGAUGGGUAGGGGUCCUGAGAGGGAGAUCCCCCACACUGGUACUGAGACACGGACCAGACUCCUACGGGAGGCAGCAGUGAGGAAUAUUGGACAAUGGGCGCAAGCCUGAUCCAGCCAUGCCGCGUGCAGGAUGACGGUCCUAUGGAUUGUAAACUGCUUUUGUACAGGAAGAAACACUGGUUCGUGAACCAGCUUGACGGUACUGUAAGAAUAAGGAUCGGCUAACUCCGUGCCAGCAGCCGCGGUAAUACGGAGGAUCCAAGCGUUAUCCGGAAUCAUUGGGUUUAAAGGGUCCGUAGGCGGUUUAGUAAGUCAGUGGUGAAAGCCCAUCGCUCAACGGUGGAACGGCCAUUGAUACUGCUAGACUUGAAUUAUUAGGAAGUAACUAGAAUAUGUAGUGUAGCGGUGAAAUGCUUAGAGAUUACAUGGAAUACCAAUUGCGAAGGCAGGUUACUACUAAUGGAUUGACGCUGAUGGACGAAAGCGUGGGUAGCGAACAGGAUUAGAUACCCUGGUAGUCCACGCCGUAAACGAUGGAUACUAKCUGUUGGGGGCAACUUCAGUGGCUAAGCGAAAGUGAUAAGUAUCCCACCUGGGGAGUACGUUCGCAAGAAUGAAACUCAAAGGAAUUGACGGGGGCCCGCACAAGCGGUGGAGCAUGUGGUUUAAUUCGAUGAUACGCGAGGAAC